AUCCACGGCCAUAGGACACAGAAAACAUCGCAUCCCGUCCGAUCUGCGCAAUCAAGCUGUGUACCGCCCAGUCAGUACCGGAGUGGGGGACCAUCCGGGAAUCCUGCCAGGUGCUGUGGUU
rnacentral:rRNA from 2 species